CCACUAUCCCAGCAUUCCCCGCGCUGCUCCCGUUGCUCUUCUACCGCGUCUCUAUGGUAGAGCCGGCCUCUGAGGCGGCAGCGGCGUUGGUGGCUUCGGUGAGGAAAAGUGAGAGUUCUAACUUUCCUCUUGGCCUGAGAGGUUUUUGGCGCGGAGCGUCGUCAUGUCGGAGAAAAAGCAGCCGGUAGAUUUGGGUCUCUUGGAGGAGGACGACGAGUUCGAGGAGUUCCCUGCCGAAGACUGGGCUGGUUUAGAUGAAGAUGAAGAUGCACAUGUCUGGGAGGAUAAUUGGGAUGAUGACAAUGUAGAGGAUGACUUCUCCAAUCAGUUACGAGCUGAACUAGAGAAACAUGGUUAUAAGAUGGAGACCUCAUAGCAUCCAGAAGAAGCGUUGAAGCAACCUAAACUUGAACUGUUUACUAAAUUCUAGGACAGAGAACCCAGGAUGGGACACUUAAAAAAAAAAAGUUUAUUUCAUUACCUGCUUGGAUUUAUUUUUGUUUUUGUAACACAAAAAAUAAAUGUUUUG